rnacentral:lncRNA from 1 species
AUUUGGUGCUAUUGUGAUUGACCCUGUGAGGACCAUCUCGGCCAGAAAAGUAAACUUGGGU